rnacentral:misc_RNA from 1 species
AACGCACCUUGCGCUCCUUGGUAUUCCGAGGAGCAUGCCUGUUUGAGUGUCAUGAAAUCUUCAACUUACAAGCCUUGUAAUGGGUUUGUAGGCUUGGACUUGGAGGCUUGUCGGUCUUUAAUAGGUCGGCUCCUCUUAAACGCAUUAGCUUGGUUCCUUGCGGAUCGGCUUGUCGGUGUGAUAAUGUCUACGCCGCGACCGUGAAGCGUUUGGGCGAGCUUCUAACCGUCUCGUUAUAGAGACAACCUUAUGACCUCUGACCUCAAAUCAGGUAGGACUACCCGCUGAACUUAA